GUAAGGAAUAUUGGUCAAUGGGGGCAACCCUGAACCAGCCAUGCCGCGUGAAGGAUGAAGGCGUUAUGCGUUGUAAACUUCUUUUGUAUGGGAAGAAUGACAGGGAUUUAUCCUUGGAGAGACGGUACCAUACGAAUAAGCACCGGCUAACUCCGUGCCAGCAGCCGCGGUAAUACGGAGGGUGCAAGCGUUAUCCGGAAUCACUGGGUUUAAAGGGUGUGUAGGCGGGCUUGUAAGUCAGGGGUGAAAUCCUACAGCUUAACUGUAGAACUGCCUUUGAUACUAUAGGUCUUGAAUAUUGUUGAGGUGGGCGGAAUACAUCAUGUAGCGGUGAAAUGCUUAGAUAUGAUGUAGAACACCGAUUGCGAAGGCAGCUCACUAAGCAAAUAUUGACGCUGAGGCACGAAAGCGUGGGGAUCAAACAGGAUUAGAAACCCGAGUAGUCC
rnacentral:rRNA from 1 species